rnacentral:rRNA from 1 species
AUUGAACGCUGGCGGCAGGCCUAACACAUGCAAGUCGAGCGGAUGAAGGGAGCUUGCUCCUGGAUUCAGCGGCGGACGGGUGAGUAAUGCCUAGGAAUCUGCCUGGUAGUGGGGGAUAACGUCCGGAAACGGGCGCUAAUACCGCAUACGUCCUGAGGGAGAAAGUGGGGGAUCUUCGGACCUCACGCUAUCAGAUGAGCCUAGGUCGGAUUAGCUAGUUGGUGGGGUAAAGGCCUACCAAGGCGACGAUCCGUAACUGGUCUGAGAGGAUGAUCAGUCACACUGGAACUGAGACACGGUCCAGACUCCUAAGGGAGGCAGCAGUGGGGAAUAUUGGACAAUGGGCGAAAGCAUGAUCCAGCCAUGCCGCGUGUGUGAAGAAGGUCUUCGGAUUGUAAAGCACUUUAAGUUGGGAGGAAGGGCAGUAAGUUAAUACCUUGCUGGUUUGACGGUACCAACAGAAUAAGCACCGGCUAACUUCGUG